rnacentral:rRNA from 1 species
CGCAAUGGGCGAAAGCCUGACAGAGCAAUACCGCGUGAGGGAUGAAGACUUACUGAGUUGUAAACCUCGGUGCCUUAAGGAAGAAGAUCUGACGGUACUUAAGGUGGAAAGCAUCGGCUAACUCCGUGCCAGCAGCCGCGGUAAGACGGAGGAUGCAAGUGUUAUCCGGAAUCACUGGGCGUAAAGCGUCUGUAGGUUGUUCAAUAAGUCAACUGUUAAAUCUUGAGGCUCAACUUCAAAAUCGCAGUCGAAACUAUUAAACUAGAGUAUAGUAGGGGUAAAGGGAAUUUCCAGUGGAGCGGUGAAAUGCGUAGAGAUUGGAAAGAACACCAAUGGCGAAAGCACUUUACUGGGCUAUUACUGACACUGAGAGACGAAAGCUA